rnacentral:misc_RNA from 1 species
AUCUAUAUUUGAUUGUUUCGUGUAAAAUACAUACACGAUAUUUUCUAUCGGUCGGGUGAAUUCAUAAAAUUUGCUUAUUUAAUAUACUAAUUAACGUUUACGUAACUAAACUAUAACACGCAUAUUUAAUAUAACCGAUGACGUCAGGUAAGCGCUCUUAAAAUGGCGUCGGAUAAACGAAAUAUUACGAAAUUCAGUAAAAAUUGCGCUGUCGGUCAAUCGGAAACUUGGUCGGAAAAUACCGGACGAAGGAGAGGGAGGAUUUCUUCUAGUUUUGGGGGUGGCGAGGUAAAGAUGACGUUCGAUUUUAGAAAAUCUCGCUUCUAAACCCUUGUGAAGAAUGGAAACCGAAGGCGGAGGGCGGUAGGGAGAGUCUCGAUCCCAAUCCGUCGUCACUCGGGGGAUAGAAACAUGAAAAAUGCAGAUAUUUAGCCUUAAAAUUCAAAAAGAAUCCGUGACGUCAAUCGCAUUCGAAUUCGUUGCGAGCUUUCUAAUCUCGCAACAAUUGCCGUUUCUAUGGAAACGCGUAUUGUUGCAACACGAUUUUGCGUCACUUUGCACGUUUUUCGCUUGCCGGACGGACGUGUGCGCUCUUUGCUCUUGUUUCUGCUGUGUUUUUUGCCUUUUUUACGUGGUUUUAAGAAGACUUGUGGACGCCGACGUUACACCAAGUAAGAUUUUAAUUAGAAUUUAGCUAGCCGUAAGAUUUUACUUUCGUUUCGUUUAGUCCAUCUUUCGGAGACGACAUCGGCCGACUCGGACUUUGCAUAUUUGCGUUUUUCGUUUGAAUAACCAUCCGAAACGCUUUUAAACCAGCCGCCACAUUGGAAAGCAACCGAAAAGGAUUAAGUAUUUGUUCAUUGGUUUAUUUUCGUAAUUAAUUAAUUUAGAUUAUAUUUUAUAAACACGGUCGAAGAAUAAGGAUUAUUUGCAAAUAUCUUAUUUAUAGAAAUUCAAUUAAAAUUUAGUUAAUGCUAACUCUAAAUACGAAUUGCGUAUCGUAAUUUUAACUAAAAUAUAUACACUCGGAACCGGAUGGACAGAAGGAUAAACGGAGACCGUAUUCUGAAGCAUAACAUGUUCCUUCGACACAUCCGGGACGUCAAAAAUUUCGCCCUUUAACCUCCGACUUCUCCAUUAAAUCUAUGUAUUAGUUACAACGCUUUUCAAUGGCUUACUUUGCGAGAAUUAAAUUGCCUGCAUCUCUGUACCGUUUAAAACACAUCUAAUACACUUAAUAGUUAUCUAUACAGGCUGGACACAAAGAAUUCUUUUCCUUAAGCUGUUUGUCUCUUUCCACAAUGCAGUCUUUUCUGAGUGCAGUCCAUCUUCCACACUUACGUAACCCUCUGCAAAUGCUUUGUGCCACUUAAACGUCGACUCUCGUGCGCAAUUUCUCUCUUAAAUGCCGUCGUUGCGUUUAUGUGACGCACGUUAGGGUAAAUUGCUCUAGAACGAAACACUUGUUACGACUUGGACUUGAGUACGAGUGCCUUUUGCGCAUGGCUAUGUGCGGCGUGUCUACUUUUCUGUCGUACAAAUACAGAUUACACGUAAGAGAGUUUAAUCGUUCCGGGUCGGUCGUCUCUACUGCAAAUGCAGUUCGAACGUUCUAGAAAUUUCCGAUAGGAUCUAACGUGAGCUACACGAAUUCCGAUCCGUCAAUGAAGAGCUGGCGGUUUUGGCGUUGGCUGCGGCCCAAGAAGAUGAAGAAGUGUGAAGGGCGUUCUCCUUCCGCAAUAGAUGAAGAGAGGGUCUUUUCCCCCUUUGAGCGGGGAGAGGAACUCUCUUCCAUCGAUUGCGGAAGGGGUUCUUCCUUCACGGGAUCGCCUUCGGGAAUAGCGGAUGUCGACAGCAUUCUCUGUUCCGCGUUGAACGGAGACGAGACAUUUCGCCAUUCGGACGUGUUCCGAAAGGUGAAAUGUCUCCAUGUUGACGACAUCAUCUUUGACGCACUGGGAGGGGAGGAAUGUUUCGAUCAUUCCUCCCUUUUCCAACGAGUGGGAUCCUCUCGUUCGGUGUGGGCAAAGAUGGAAAGGAAAAAGCGUCGCUUCGUAAGAGAAGUGAACGACUUUUUCCUUUGCUAUUUCUGAAGGAUAUUACUAACCUAGGAUAAGAAGGCAAGAGGUUUUUUUCGUUUGUUUUUUCCUCUUGUCAUACUAACAACAUUUAAAUUUAAGGUUUUAGUUUCAAUUUACUAACGUAGGAUAAGAAGGCAAGAGGUUUUUUUCGUUUGUUUUUUCCUCUUGUCAU